rnacentral:rRNA from 1 species
CCCUUAGAUGUUCUGGGCUGCACGCGCGCUACACUGAAGCUAUCAACACGUUUUCCCUCCCUGAGAAGGGCGGGUAACCUUUUGAAUCAGCUUCGUGGUAGGGAUCGGGGCUUGCAAUUGUUCCCCGUGAACCAGGAAUUCCUAGUAGACGCGAGUCAUAAGCUCGCAUCGAUUAAGUCCCUGCCCUUUGUACACACCGCCCGUCGCACCUACCGAUUGAACGGUCCGGUGAAAUCUUGGGAUUUGCUUUGCUUUCGUUUGUUCGAUGCUCGGCGAAGAACUUGAGUAAACCUUACCGUUUAGAGGAAGGUGAAGUCGUAACA